AGCCAUCCUGAACGGGGGAAGAAAUGGCCUAGACUCCCAGCAACUCUUUCCUCCUGCUCCAGCUCCAACGAGGAGGGGACAAGUGUGAAGAAAUUCAUGCACACCUGGAUAAAACAGAGCGCCCAGACACAUUUUCAAUGAGUGGAAAAGCCGGCUCGGUCAGUUUUAUGGAACUAGGCAAUAGUGAUCAUGUUGUUAUGUUUUCUGACGGUGAAUAUAAUGGGAA